CCCACCGCGCCACUCUAGGCCAAUGAACGCGGGCCGCGACGCCCACGACAGUGACCUCACUUCCGGCUCCUCCUCGCGAGUCUCCAGGCUGAUCCCGAGCGAGGAUUUCUAAAGCCGUGUCCCGUCCACCCAGCGCUGGGGCUCCGGCGCGUGGAGCUCGAUAAAGAUCGGAUUGGAGGAAGUUCAGUCGGCGCCAACGUAGAGGGAGGAAACCACGCAGAGCCUGGAGUGUGGUGUUCGCGAGGGUGGAGAGGUCGGCCAAAGCUGCGCCUUGCAGAACAAGACCCACCUCUUCGGGAGAGAGGAUGCUGCUGCUCUGGAACCGCACAAACUGGCACAAGAAGCCCCAAACGUGCAACAAUUCAGCAUUUCCAUUCACAGACAUUGCCUGCACCCCUGCUGUGCUCAGUGCUGGGCUGAGAAUGCAGAUCUGUAGCCCACAGCACCCUGAUUUCAAGGAGGUCAGAGUUAGUGAGCAGGGGUGGGGUUGUGUCAUGGGAGAGUGGAGUAAAUGAGGCAGACUUCAGACCCUGAGAAAGGUGGCCCUUCAGUAACCCCCCACUCCUGGCCUUGCACCUCACACUUGUAGCCAAAAUGGACUAUGUGUGGUUACCCAAACAUACCACCAUAGGCUCAUUAUGUUCUGCUCUCACUUCACUACCUGGGUUACAUUUCCUCCUCUUUGCCUAUUAAUCCUUCAAGCCUCAGCUAAAAUGUUAUGUUCACUAAUAAUGUUCUUUCAAUUUAUUAAAGACAGGCUCCUCGUGCUGACUACA